rnacentral:rRNA from 1 species
GACGAAUGCUGGCUGCGUGCUUAACACAUGCAAGUCGAACGGUGAACCAGGGCUUGCCCUGGGGAUCAGUGGCGAACGGGUGAGUAACACGUGGGCAACCUGCCCCUCACUCUGGGAUAACUCCGGGAAACCGGGGCUAAUACCGGAUACGACCUCAUGCGACAUCUCGUGAGGUGGAAAGAAUCUCGGUGAGGGAUGGGCCCGCGGCCUAUCAGCUAGUUGGUGGGGUAACGGCCCACCAAGGCGACGACGGGUAGCCGGCCUGAGAGGGCGACCGGCCACACUGGGACUGAGACACGGCCCAGACUCCUACGGGAGGCAGCAGUGGGGAAUAUUGCGCAAUGGGCGAAAGCCUGACGCAGCGACGCAGCGUGAGGGAUGAAGGCCUUCGGGUUGUAAACCUCUUUCAGCGGGGACGAAGCGAAAGUGACGGUACCCGCAGAAGAAGCACCGGCUAACUACGUGCCAGCCGCCGCCGUAACAC